UGCCAGCCGCCGCGGUAAUACGGAGGGUGCUAGCGUUAUUCGGAAUCACUGGGCGUAAAGCGCGCGUAGGCGGCUCAUAAAGUUGGGAGUGAAAGCCCGAGGCUCAACCUCGGAACUGCUCUCAAAACUCAUGAGCUAGAAUUCGGUAGAGGAUAGUGGAAUUCCUAGUGUAGAGGUGAAAUUCGUAGAUAUUAGGAGGAACACCAGUGGCGAAGGCGACUGUCUGGACCGAUAUUGACGCUAAGGCGCGAAAGCGUGGGGAGCAAACAGGAUUAGAUA
rnacentral:rRNA from 1 species